GCCUGAUGCUGAAACAGUUCCAGCUAAGCCCCUGAGAUGGAGUAGUCUUUAUGAGGAUUUUCCCUCAAACAACAUGGGUCAUAUCCUACGCAUGGCUUCUUAUCCAUGGACUUCUGUACAUGUCUUCACACAAGUUCUCCACGAGGGUCUACCAACCAUGCUUAAGCCCUACAUGAUUUCUCCUGACAUCUUGAGGAUGCCUGUGACCAGUGACCUCACCUUCAACAUUCUUGGAGGCAACCUUGUAUGGACAAGCAGCAUGGAGCUCCUGACUUCCAUAGUGGAUUCUAGCUGCACUAAAGGAAGUUCUCUCUACAAAUGCUAA
rnacentral:lncRNA from 1 species